rnacentral:lncRNA from 1 species
UUUUAAUGUUCUAAAUUUGUGUGCUCAAUAAAUAUUAACGUUACUGUUUUUCUAACUUCCCUAUGCAUUUGUAAACAACAAUAAGAGGGUUUUUAGUGUUUUGACAAAAUUGUUUAAAGUUCAUGAAGCAAUUGUAAUUUUUUCCAUUGAUUAUUAAGAUUGCUUUGCAUGGUUCCAGCUUGCAUGGUCAUUUUCCAGUUUCCAUUCUGUUUAACUUAGACAUCUGAUUUUAUUUUAUUUCAUUGUUGCCAGAAGUAUACUGUCUCAAAUAUAAACAUAUUUAAAAUCUGUUUUAAUAUAUGACAAAGCUAGGUUCUCCUCCUUAUUAUUAUUUUAAAAUGUUCUCACUCCCUAGGUGAACUUUAACAUCAUUUUAUUAGGUUCCCCACUCCAUGGAGCUUCGAUUAGUAUUGUGUUAUACAUAAUACUUGUUUGGGAAGAAUUAGCAUCUUUAUAAUACUGCCUCCUCCCUUCAAGGCUGUCACUGUCCUGAUAUUCUCUGUUCAAGCUAUUCUUUGUAUAGUCUCAGUGACUUUUUAUAAUUUUCUUCACAUGGGUCUCCCACACUGUUUAUUAAGGUUAUUACUGGGAAUUAUAUACAUGUAGUUGUUGUUUCAAUUGGGAUCAUUUUCUCCUAUUUUUAAACUGGUCAUAGAUACUCAGGAAACCUUUCAAGUAGAUAAUAAUCAAUAUUGUACACUGUAGAUCAGAGGUUGGCAAACUACAGCCUGGGGACAAAUAUAACUCUUUUCUUUAUAAAUAAAGUUGUAUUAGAGCACAGGAGUCUUCAUUUGUUUACAUAUUGUUUCUGGCUGUUUUUCACUAUACAAGGUGGAGUUAAGAAGUUGUGGCAGAGGAUCUGGCCGGUGAGCCUAAGCUAUUUACUGCCUGGCCCUUCACAGAACAAGUUUGCUGACCUCUGCUGUGGAGUAUAGAACAGGCCUACUGAAUGUUCAUCAGUUCAGAGGGAUUUUCACAAUUGAUGCUCUCCUGUUUUCUGGAUUCAUCAACCCCAUGUAAAGCCCAAGAUGGGUCCAGGUCUGCUUUUUCGGUUUCCAGUGGACUGGAAAGAUGAUCAUUCCAAGGAUCAGAAGCGGUGGGCUCUAUGCCAGUUCUUCCAAUCUCGAGCUGUGUAACUUUGGGUAAUUUAUUUAUUUUCUGUCCUUACCUUUUCUCUUUUGCUAGAUACAAUUGAAACUAUCACAAUAGACUUCUACAAUUUGUAAAUUAGAUGACAUGUUAUUUCAAAUCCAUAAAGCCCUGUAAAAAAAGAAAGGCACACUACUGAAAAUUUUCUAUUUACUCAGACACCAUCUUGCCACAUAAAUCUUCCUAGCUGACUUCGGAAAGGAGUUAUGCAAAUGUUUUCAGCAACAGUGAUUUAAAAUUUGCUGGGAUCUGAGGAGAAUCGCUGUGUAGAGGCAAUGUUCU